GAAAUGCGAUAAGUAGUGUGAAUUGCAGAAUUCAGUGAAUCAUCGAAUCUUUGAACGCACAUUGCGCCCUUUGGUAUUCCUUAGGGCAUGCCUGUUCGAGCGUCAUCUAAACCUCAAGCCCUGCUUGGUGUUGGGUGCCUGUCCCGCCUCCGCGCGCGGACUCACCUCAAAUCCAUUGGCGGCCCCCGCGUCGGCCACGAGCGCAGCAGAAACGCGAACUCGUGAGCCCGUCCGGGCGGCUCCCAGAAGCUACACCCACCCAGUUUGACCUCGGAUCAGGUAGGGAUACCCGCUGAACUUAAGC
rnacentral:misc_RNA from 1 species